GAUGAACGCUGGCGGCGUGCCUAAUACAUGCAAGUCGAGCGAACGGACGAGAAGCUUGCUUCUCUGAUGUUAGCGGCGGACGGGUGAGUAACACGUGGAUAACCUACCUAUAAGACUGGGAUAACUUCGGGAAACCGGAGCUAAUACCGGAUAAUAUUUUGAACCGCAUGGUUCAAAAGUGAAAGACGGUCUUGCUGUCACUUAUAGAUGGAUCCGCGCUGCAUUAGGUAGUUGGUAAGGUAACGGCUUACCAAGGCAACGAUGCAUACCCGACCUAAAAGGGUGAUCGGCCACACUGGAACUGAGACACGGUCCAGACUCCUACGGGAGGCAGCAGUAGGGAAUCUUCCGCAAUGGGCGAAAGCCUGACGGAGCAACGCCGCGUGAGUGAUGAAGGUCUUCGGAUCGUAAAACUCUGUUAUUAGGGAAGAACAUAUGUGUAAGUAACUGUGCACAUCUUGACGGUACCUAAUCAGAAAGCCACGGCUAACUACGUG
rnacentral:rRNA from 1 species